rfam:Pedobacter heparinus DSM 2366, complete genome.
GAUUUAUAAAGAAGUGGCGAGAGACAGGCUCUUUGACCCACUGGCAACCCUCCCAAAAUGGAGAAGGUGCCAAUUCCUGACCGGGCAGCAUGGUGCUGUUUGGAAAGAUAAAUU